rnacentral:rRNA from 1 species
GAUGAACGCUGGCGGCGUGCUUAACACAUGCAAGUCGAACGGAAAGGCUCCUGCUUGCAGGGGUACUCGAGUGGCGAACGGGUGAGUAACACGUGGGUGAUCUGCCCUGCACUUCGGGAUAAGCCUGGGAAACUGGGUCUAAUACCGGAUAGGACCACAUUUUGGAUGGUGUGGUGGAAAGUUAUUCGGUGUGGGAUGAGCUCGCGGCCUAUCAGCUUGUUGGUGGGGUAAUGGCCUACCAAGGCGUCGACGGGUAGCCGGCCUGAGAGGGUGUACGGCCACAUUGGGACUGAGAUACGGCCCAGACUCCUACGGGAGGCAGCAGUGGGGAAUAUUGCACAAUGGGCGCAAGCCUGAUGCAGCGACGCCGCGUGGGGGAUGAAGGCCUUCGGGUUGUAAACUCCUUUCGCUAGGGACGAAGCGCAAGUGACGGUACCUGGAGAAGAAGCACCGGCUAACUACGUG